GCCUGGGUGGCUCAGUCGGUUGAGCAUCCAGUUUCGGCUCAGCUCUUGAUCUCGCAGUCUGUGGGUUCGAGCCCCACAUCAGGCU
rnacentral:tRNA from 1 species